CUUUAUAGUUAAAAUAAAUAAAAUAUAAAGAUUUAUAGGGUCUUCUCGUCUUUUAAAUAAAUUUUAGCUUUUUGACUAAAAAAUAAAGUUCUAAUAAAAAAUCAAAUGAAACAGUUAAUAUUUCGUCCAACCAUUCAUUCCAGCCUUCAAUUAAAAGAAUAAUGAUUAUGCUACCUUUGCACAGUCAAAAUACUGCGGCCGU